UGGGGAAUAUUGCACAAUGGGCGAAAGCCUGAUGCAGCGACGCCGCGUGAGGGAUGAAGGCCUUCGGGUUGUAAACCUCUUUCAGCAGGGACGAAGCGCAAGUGACGGUACCUGCAGAAGAAGCACCGGCUAACUACGUGCCAGCAGCCGCGGUAAUACGUAGGGUGCGAGCGUUGUCCGGAAUUACUGGGCGUAAAGAGUUCGUAGGCGGUUUGUCGCGUCGUUUGUGAAAACCCGGGGCUCAACUUCGGGCUUGCAGGCGAUACGGGCAGACUUGAGUGUUUCAGGGGAGACUGGAAUUCCUGGUGUAGCGGUGAAAUGCGCAGAUAUCAGGAGGAACACCGGUGGCGAAGGCGGGUCUCUGGGAAACAACUGACGCUGAGGAACGAAAGCGUGGGUAGCAAACA
rnacentral:rRNA from 1 species